rnacentral:rRNA from 1 species
GUUAAGAGACAAAGCGUACAAGGUGGAUGCCUUGGCAAUCAGAGGCGAAGAAGGACGUGCUAAUCUGCGAAAAGCUCGGAUGAGUCGAUAAGAGGCGUUUAAUCCGAGAUAUCCGAAUGGGGAAACCCGGUGGGUGAAGAACCCACUAUCAUUAUCUGAAUCCAUAGGAUAAUGAGGCGAACCGGGAGAACUGAAACAUCUAAGUACCCCGAGGAAAAGAAAUCAACCGAGAUUUUGUGAGUAGCGGCGAGCGAAAGCGAAGGAGCCUGUUAGUGAUAGCGGCGGUGUCAGAGGAACGUGUUGGGAAGCACGGCGAGAGAGGGUGAUAGCCCCGUACUUGAAGACACGGCAGUGGUACUGAGCUAACGAGAAGUAGGGCGGGACACGUGAUAUCCUGUUUGAAGAAGGGGGGCCCAUCCUCCAAGGCUAAAUACUCCUGAUUGACCGAUAGUGAACCAGUACUGUGAAGGAAAGGCGAAAAGAACCGGGGUGACCGGAGUGAAAUAGAACCUGAAACCUUGUACGUACAAGCAGUGGGAGCCUGAAAGGGUGACUGCGUACCUUUUGUAUAAUGGGUCAGCGAGUUAUAUUUUGUAGCGAGGUUAACCGGAUAGGGGAGCCGAAGGGAAACCGAGUCUUAACUGGGCGAGUAGUUGCGAGGUAUAGACCCGAAACCCGGUGAUCUAGCCAUGGGCAGGUUGAAGGUUGGGUAACACUAACUGGAGGACCGAACCGACUAAUGUUGAAAAAUUAGCGGAUGACUUGUGGCUGGGGGUGAAAGGCCAAUCAAACCGGGAGAUAGCUGGUUCUCCCCGAAAUCUAUUUAGGUAGAGCCUUGAGCGGACACCUUUGGGGGUAGAGCACUGUUUCGGCUAGGGGGCCAUCCCGGCUUACCAACCCGAUGCAAACUGCGAAUACCGAAGAGUGAUACUCAGGAGACACACGGCGGGUGCUAACGUCCGUCGUGGAGAGGGAAACAACCCAGACCGCCGGCUAAGGUCCCGAAGUCUAUAUUAAGUGGGAAACGAAGUGGGAAGGCUUAGACAGCUAGGAUGUUGGCUUAGAAGCAGCCAUCAUUUAAAGAAAGCGUAAUAGCUCACUAGUCGAGUCGGCCUGCGCGGAAGAUGUAACGGGGCUGAAAUAUAGCACCGAAGCUGCGGCAUCAGGCGUAUCACUAAUACGCCUUACGAUUAACAACCUGCGCAAUGAAGAGAAGCAGGUUGGUCAAGCGUCAAACCCGUUGAGACGGAAGUCAUGACGGGAAGUGCGGUUGGAAAUUGAGGAAUAUUAGUGAUACGCCUGUUGGGUAGGGGAGCGUUGUGUAAGCGGAAGAAGAUGAAUCGAGAGGUUUGUUGGACGUAUCACAAGUGCGAAUGCUGACAUAAGUAACGAUAAAACGGGUGAAAAACCCGUUCGCCGGAAGACCAAGGGUUCCUGUCCAACGUUAAUCGGGGCAGGGUGAGUCGGCCCCUAAGGCGAGGCUGAAAAGCGUAGUCGAUGGGAAACGGGUUAAUAUUCCCGUACUUGGAUAAACUGCGAUGUGGGGACGGAGCAGGUUAGGUUAGCGUACUGUUGGAUAUGUACGUUUAAGUUGGUAGGUGGGGAGCUUAGGCAAAUCCGGGCUCCUGUUAACACUGAGAGAUGACGACGAGGCCUUAAGGGGCUGAAGUAACUGAUACCAGACUUCCAGGAAAAGCCACUAAGCGAAAGGUUUAUCUAAACCGUACUGAAAACCGACACAGGUGGUCAGGUAGAGAAUACUCAGGCGCUUGAGAGAACUCGGGUGAAGGAACUAGGCAAAAUAGCACCGUAACUUCGGGAGAAGGUGCGCCGGCGUAGAUUGUAAGGGCUUGCCCCUGAAGGUUGAACCGGUCGAAGAUACCAGCUGGCUGCAACUGUUUAUUAAAAACACAGCACUCUGCAAACACGAAAGUGGAGGUAUAGGGUGUGAUGCCUGCCCGGUGCUGGAAGGUUAAUUGAUGGUGUAAUCGCAAGAGAAGCUCCUGAUAGAAGCCCCAGUAAACGGCGGCCGUAACUAUAACGGUCCUAAGGUAGCGAAAUUCCUUGUCGGGUAAGUUCCGACCUGCACGAAUGGCAUAAUGAUGGCCAGGCUGUCUCCACCCGAGACUCAGUGAAAUUGAAAUCGCCGUGAAGAUGCGGUGUACCCGCGGCUAGACGGAAAGACCCCGUGAACCUUUACUAUAGCUUGACACUGAACAUUGAAUUUUGAUGUGUAGGAUAGGUGGGAGACUAUGAAGUUGGGACGCCAGUCUCAAUGGAGUCGACGUUGAAAUACCACUCUUUAACGUUUGAUGUUCUAACGA